AGCUGCAAAGAGUCUUUUUUCUCAUGAGAAUUAACUGGAGCACUGCCUUUUGGUAAGGAUGGAUGAAGUCAUGGUAUCCGCUCUCAUAAGGUGUGCACCAUUCUCUUCUGAGAAAAAAAGAUAGGAGGGAGAAGCUAGAAGAUUGGUGAAGAAGAUCAUGGUCAUGUUUUUCUCUGAUGUGCUUUUGAGAAUAAAAUCACCUUUCCUGGCCAAAUCUAGUGGGGUCAACUGAUCCCACUGCCUAUGCAAUUAGCUCUGUCCCUGCAAGCAGCUCAAUUUUUCUGUGCAGAAUAUGUGGCUCAUGCAGCUUUACAGAAGAUCACCAGAAUCGGAUUCGACCUGCUCUUCGCCCAUGAAGGGACUUGACUUGCAGCCGACCCCGACGCACGCUACGCCAGGAGGUCACAACUCAAAGGUUAAUUCUGUUACGGUUUACCAAAUCUGUAGCAAUCAAACCAUUUACCGUGUGCUCUGAAUUUUUUUUUACAAUGGGUUUUCGGUCAAUAAAUGCAGGCGAAUUGAAACAUGGUAUAUUGAUAUUUUGUUUCUCCAGGCUAUGAUUAAGCGUCCGGGAUCUUUAUAAUAACGAAUAUAGGGCAAGACAAACCACUACCGUGGGGAAAAAGACUACAACGGACUACUCGCGGGGUGUAGCAUGCAAAUCCCGGGAUCCUUUGUCAUGACCUUGAUGCCUUGACAACCUUCAGGAGCUCCCCUCCAAACAAAACGUUGGCAAUGAAGGUGGAAAGAUCCUUGUCCACGCCUACUACUGCAUGCACUCUGGCUGCUUUCGGACGGCUCGGGUACUACAGUCGAGCAACUAAUGACGCGUGAAUGACCUUCCAAAGAAGAUCGUGUUGUUGUUCCUGUGGUCCUAUAUUAAGCGCAGCAACAACGAGUAUCUUAGUUAAUAAGAGGCUUUCAUAAAAUUGGCAUGGAUUUUUAUGCUAUGCAUAUUUGCAUCACCUGACUUGGGAUGGCCGGAUGGGAUAAAGUGUGGCUGUAAGAAAGGACCUACCUGUCAUCAAUGAAGAAAAUAAUUGUGUAUGUGCCGAGAGACAUUUGGUAGUCUUGGUUCACAAGAUAUUUAAUAAUAAUUUCUUAUUUAGCACUAGAUAUUGCUCGCCAUGAAACUAAAAAAACUAAAUCUGAUUCAAUACACAUAUAUUUGCUUUA